rnacentral:misc_RNA from 1 species
UUUCCGUAGGUGAACCUGCGGAAGGAUCAUUUCAGAGUUCAUGCCCUCACGGGUAGAUCUCCCACCCUUGAAUAUUUAUACCUUAGUUGCUUUGGCAGGCCGUGGAAACACCAUGGGCUCCGGCUUAUGCGUGCCUGCCAGAGGAAACAAACUCUGUUUUUAGUGAUGUCUGAGUACUAUAUAAUAGUUAAAACUUUCAACAACGGAUCUCUUGGUUCUG